AAGAACAACAACAAAAACUGAUCCAUUUCGUCUAUGCAAGACAUAACGGCCAUUAGAACAGGGACCAGUGUGAAGCUUUGACUUGUAGCUAAACAGUUCCACAAGCGCAACCUACCGCAACUAGCCCACCUUCGUCCGAGCAAAUAAUUAAAUUCACGCGUAGUUCAUAGGCACAUAAUUCAGUGUAACUUGCGAUUAGCAUUGCAGAGGUGUAGCAGCCUGACGCCGUCAUUUACCAUGCAACAACGUUUAUAAUAUGACGAGAUGGCUCUGUUAGAAUGAAGACACACCUGGAGCACAAAGCAGGAUUGUCUUUUGCAUUGUAGGUUGGCCAAUCCUGCAUUGCAAUAGGCAAUCCUGCACCACUGCAGUCAAGAAUGCAUGCCUGCUGAGCUGGCCAGACUCGCAGUGCAUUCAUGUCUUGACUGCUGUGCAUGCAUGUGCAGGUAUGCACCAUAACUUCACGAAGUCCUCGUAUGUGAAAUGCACAUCAUGCACCAGUGAGUGAAUAUUGCGGUAUCCAUACUUGGAUGCGUUAAAAUCAACACGUUGCAGUGUAGUUAUGUCGACUAUGAAUUUAGUAAUCAUCACAGACUCCCAAACCAUUCAACGAAGCUUUCGAAUGCUCUUGCUGCAUUUAAUGUUGCAUUCAUGCAACUGUUGCCGCAAGACAUGCAUACGGGCAGUCAUCCGCUCGUCCAAUCAUCAAUCAACGAGCACUCUACAUCGACAGGAACACAGCUAAUUAUAGGCCCAGCAUGAUUGCACAUAAACGACUGUCACAUAUUUAAUAGCUACGCUAUUAAAGCACCACCAGCACCAUCUUGGCAUGGUCCGCCACCCUUGUCAUGUAGGUUGUCGUCGUAGUGGUUGAUUUUACCAUUUGCCUUGUUGCCUCUGUUGUUGCGCUUCAGUAUGAGCGCGGCGAUAAGUGUAGAGGCUUGCACCAGCGUCAUCAUGUCCAGCUGCUCGUCUGUGAUUUGUUGACCUGCUUGAUUCGUGAGUUUCUUGAGUAGGUCCUUCUGUGAUAGCAUCGCAGCCUGUGCUUUGACGGAGUUCUGUGUAAUGAGUGCCGACGCAUCCCUCUUGGAUAGAGGUUGCUGCGGUAGCUGUACGAUGUGCCUUUGAAACGGAGCAAGCUGUGCUGCUGUGGCCUAUUCUCCUGACGCAUGGCUGUCCAUGAGCUUGCUGGCCUGGCUUUUAGUAAGCUUGUCAAUUUCGUCCAGUGGAGAGCUGCACAUUGCCUGCCUGAUGAUGGUUUUUCAUUGUAUUUUUUCUUGAAGUCUUCGUAGUCUGCUGUCCUGCUGCUUAGGAGUCUUGAGCAUUCUCCGAUUGUGGUAGGCCAGUCACAUGGCAUGAUUGACAAAUCAUUAAUGUACGCUUGUUGUUUUGGGGUUCGUUCGUCAUCGGGGCGUCGUGUGACGCGUGUUGUUAUGGUGGUGGGCGGAGUGUGAAAACCAAGGCCUUCGUACUGCUGGACGGAUAAACCCAUGGCUUGAGCCUGAGACUGAUGACUCGCAGCUGCUGCUAAAGUUGUGACGGUUGAUGACAUUGCAGGUGGGACGUGGGAUAGGUGUCUAAGGUCAUAGUAAUGCAAAGACUGUGACAGGCAGUAAGACAGUAGCAGGAACAGGAACGUAAGCAGCCUAACAUUAAAAUGAAUUAUGGUGCUUAAGGGGGUACAAGUGCCAUGAACAUGUUUGGUGUCAGUUGGAUGUCGAUGGGGAGGAUGUACAGCUGCACAAUAUCCACAACUCGCGACAGUGCUACAUAUGCUUGCCCUAGUCAGAUCGUGUUAGUAAAGUCAAUAAUGACGGGAUCCGUUAUGGUAUCGCCCUGCACUUUUGUGUACAGUUCUUGCAAAAGCAGGCACGACCUGGAACAUUUUGUGUUCAAGCUUGGCACCAUUCUUGUAUUUGACCUCGCAUAUCCUUGGCAGGCGGAUUAUGGUUUGGGAGUCCAAAAGCUGGAGUGACAGCAUGGAUUCGGUGAUUUCUUGCACGAUUGCUUAAGCACCGUUUUCGAUUUUUUGGGCCGACAGGUUCUUGGUAACCAUGACCAUCAUGCCGGGAGCGAGGUAAAGGUGAUCUAGGAGCACGUCUUGGUCUUGCAUUGCUUUGUACAGAUAAGCUACGUCUUCAGGCGCAUACCUAUUUCCUUUGUGAAGCUUGUCGGCAGCUGUAAUAUGCUGCAGUGGGUGUGUGCCAUAUCUUGGUUAUACUUGUCGAUUUUCGUUUGUUCCAGCUAUGUGCCAUGAUUUUUUGGGUGCAACGAAAUUUUGGGAAGACUUUACCACACGAGUCUGCAAAAGUGCCAGGAUGGGUUCGGUUGGUGGCUAUACCUUGAUCACAUUGAGUGCGUCAAUCCAUGCUUGAUUAUUAGGAUUUUGUCGGUGAUUUGUUCCUAGUUGAAUUUCUUGAAACAUGUGCCACAUGGCCCAACUGUAUGGCUGGUGUAUGCAUGCAUCUUCGUCACACUUACGGUCACACACGGCGGCAAGCUGAUGCUUGUCACCACGAAGGAGUAUUAAUUUUCCAGCAAAAGGAAGGGUGGAUGGUAU
rnacentral:lncRNA from 1 species